rnacentral:rRNA from 1 species
AUUGAACGCUGGCGGCAGGCCUAACACAUGCAAGUCGAGCGGAUGAAGGGAGCUUGCUCCUGGAUACAGCGGCGGACGGGCGAGUAAUGCCUAGGAAUAUGCCUGGUAGUGGGGGAUAACGUCCGGAAACGGGCGCUAGUACCGCAUACGUCCUGAGGGAGAAAGUGGGGGAUCUUCGGACCUCCCGCCAUCAGAUGAGCCUAGGUCGGAUUAGCUAGUUGGUGGGGUAAAGGCCUACCAAGGCGACGAUCCGUAACUGGUCUGAGAGGAUGAUCAGUCACACUGGAACUGAGACACGGUCCAGACUCCUACGGGAGGCAGCAGUGGGGAAUAUUGGACAAUGGGCGAAAGCCUGAUCCAGCCAUGCCGCGUGUGUGAAGAAGGUCUUCGGAUUGUAAAGCACUUUUAGUUGGGAGGAAGAGCAGUAAGUUAAUACCUUGCUGUUUUGACGUUACCAACAGAAUAAGCACCGGCUAACUUCGUG